rnacentral:rRNA from 1 species
UACGAAGGGGGCUAGCGUUGCUCGGAAUGACUGGGCGUAAAGGGCGCGUAGGCGGAUGGCACAGUCAGAUGUGAAAUUCCCGGGCUUAACCUGGGGGCUGCAUUUGAUACGUGUUGUCUUGAGUUCGGAAGAGGGUCGUGGAAUUCCCAGUGUAGAGGUGAAAUUCGUAGAUAUUGGGAAGAACACCGGUGGCGAAGGCGGCGACCUGGUCCGACACUGACGCUGAGGCGCGAAAGCAUGGGGAGCGAACAGG